AGACCCGAAACCCGGUGAUCUAGCCAUGGGCAGGUUGAAGGUUGGGUAACACUAACUGGAGGACCGAACCGACUAAUGUUGAAAAAUUAGCGGAUGACCUGUGGCUGGGGGUGAAAGGCCAAUCAAACCGGGAGAUAGCUGGUUCUCCCCGAAAGCUAUUUAGGUAGCGCCUCGUGAAUUCAUCUCCGGGGGUAGAGCACUGUUUCGGCUAGGGGGCCAUCCCGGCUUACCAACCCGAUGCAAACUGCGAAUACCGGAGAAUGUUAUCACGGGAGACACACGGCGGGUGCUAACGUCCGUCGUGAAGAGGGAAACAACCCAGACCGCCAGCUAAGGUCCCAAAGUCAUGGUUAAGUGGGAAACGAUGUGGGAAGGCCCAGACAGCCAGGAUGUUGGCUUAGAAGCAGCCAUCAUUUAAAGAAAGCGUAAUAGCUCACUGGUCGAGUCGGCCUGCGCGGAAGAUGUAACGGGGCUAAACCAUGCACCGAAGCUGCGGCAGCGACACUGUGUGUUGUUGGGUAGGGGAGCGUUCUGUAAGCCUGUGAAGGUGUGUCGUGAGGCAUGCUGGAGGUAUCAGAAGUGCGAAUGCUGACAUAAGUAACGAUAAAGCGGGUGAAAAGCCCGCUCGCCGGAAGACCAAGGGUUCCUGUCCAACGUUAAUCGGGGCAGGGUGAGUCGACCCCUAAGGCGAGGCCGAAAGGCGUAGUCGAUGGGAAACGGGUUAAUAUUCCCGUACUUGGUGUUACUGCGAAGGGGGGACGGAGAAGGCUAUGUUGGCCGGGCGACGGUUGUCCCGGUUUAAGCGUGUAGGUGUGUGUUCCAGGUAAAUCCGGUUCACUUUAACACUGAGGCGUGACGACGAGGCACUACGGUGCUGAAGCAACAAAUGCCCUGCUUCCAGGAAAAGCCUCUAAGCAUCAGGUAACAUCAAAUCGUACCCCAAACCGACACAGGUGGUCAGGUAGAGAAUACCAAGGCGCUUGAGAGAACUCGGGUGAAGGAACUAGGCAAAAUGGUGCCGUAACUUCGGGAGAAGGCACGCUGACAC
rnacentral:rRNA from 3 species